GACGAACCGUGCGACCGUUAUUCGGAAUCACUGGGCUUAAAGCGCGUGUAGGCGGGUCGGCGCGUCGGCCGCUGAAAUCCCCCGGCUCAACCGGGGAAGCGGCGCCGAUACGGCCGGCCUGGAGGGACGUAGGGGGGGCUGGAACUUCCGGUGGAGCGGUGAAAUGCGUUGAGAUCGGAAGGAACGCCCGUGGCGAAAGCGAGCCCCUGGACGUCUACUGACGCUGAGACGCGAAAGCCAGGGGAGCGAACGGG
rnacentral:rRNA from 1 species